rnacentral:rRNA from 1 species
AUUAGGCUUCGGGGGAUACUGCCAGACUUGGAACCGGGAGAGGUAAGAGGUACUACAGGGGUAGGAGUGAAAUCUUGUAAUCCCUGUGGGACCACCUGUGGCGAAGGCGUCUUACCAGAACGGGUUCGACAGUGAGGGACGAAAGCUGGGGGCACGAACCGGAUUAGAUACCCGGGUAGUCCCAGCCGUAAACGAUGCUCGCUAGGUGUCAGGCAUGGCGCGACCGUGUCUGGUGCCGCAGGGAAGCCGUGAAGCGAGCCACCUGGGAAGUACGGCCGCAAGGCUGAAACUUAAAGGAAUUGGCGGGGGAGCACAACAACGGGUGGAGCCCUGCGGUUUAAUUGGACUCAACGCCGGACAACUCACCGGGGGCGACAGCAAUAUGUAGGCCAAGCUGAAGACUUUGCCUGAAUCGCUGAGAAGUGGUGCAUGG